GGAGAUGUGUCUGAGUGGUUGAAAGAGGCGGUCUUGAAAACCGUUAAACGGCAACGUUUCGUGGGUUCAAAUCCUACCAUCUCCGCCA
rnacentral:tRNA from 2 species